AUUGCUUAAUGUAAACAAAUAUAACCUCUUGUAACCUUUGGUCAUUACUCUUUUUGGGGCGAGAAAAGACAGAGUAACAGUACUCCGCUGACUGUGGCUUCUCAAUCCAACAAGAUCCUUGUACAAGUAUUAUUUUAAAGGAGUCAUAUUAUGCCCCUUUUUCAGGUCCAUAAUUGUAUUUUGUGGCUCUCCUACAAUAGGUUUAGAUGUUCAAAAAACACAUUAUUUUUCUCAUACUGCCUAUAGCUGAGCAGCUCUUUUCAGCCUCUGUCUGAAUCGCUCGGUUUUAGCGCCUGUCUCUUUAAGACCCCCCUCCCGAAAAGCCCAGUCUGCUCUGAUUGGUCAGCAUUAUGACGCGGCUCACGCGGAUGACGCGGCUCACGCGGAUGACGCUCUGGCCCCUCCCCUUCGUUGCCGGCAGGUAGCUCCUCACUGUUACUGAGUUUAGCUGCAUUUCUACCAUCAAUAUUAAUUCAAUAACUGCUUCUGAACCAAAAACUGCACCAGCGGACAUGUUAGAGCGGGAGUCUGACCUGAAAUCACAGAGAAAUUAACAUCAACAACAAUCAGGAUCACAGCUUUCUGUGACGUUUUCCUCAGGUACAGCAGUGAGCAGUGACCUACAGUCUACACAGCCCAGUGAAGUUAAACAUAUUAUAUAUUACAUAAUAUUAACAACAUUAGUCAAGCAGUUUUUUCUAGAUUAGAAAUACCCAGUAAAUGUACCAAAGUAAUCAGAGUAAUAGUAUAAUGAUUACUGUAACCUCCCAUCUGUUAUAUUCUUUAUACACAUUAGUUUACUGAGACCAUGGAAACAGAAACCUGGAAUACUUUAUCUUGUACAACAUGUCAACAUAACUGAAGGAAUUACUCAUCUAAUAAAGUAAAUUGUUUAUGGGGUUGAAAAACUGCUAAGUAACCAACUGUUAACUGUACUGUAUCCAUAUUUCAUAUUCUGAUAUAGUAUUAUUACCAAAGAUAACCUUCAGAUAUUUGUAAAAGCUGCAAUUAUGUUUAAAACCCAUUAAAAAUACUGUAUACUGAAUAUUCUAUCAUUUAUAUUAUAUAUUGUGAUGUAAUUUAUCUUCCAACAUAAUAAAGUUUGAAUGUGAGACAGUAA